rnacentral:tRNA from 1 species
GGGGAUGUAGCUCAGUUGGGAGAGCGCUGCCUCCGCAAGGCAGAGGCCGAGGGUUCGAAUCCCUUCAUCUCCACCA